CAAUCAAUUGUCUUUUAAAUGAAGACCUGUAUGAAUGGCAUAACGAGGGUUUAACUGUCUCUUUUUCCUGGCCAAUGAAACUGAUCUGCCCGUGCAGAAGCGGGCAUAAAAAUACAAGACGAGAAGACCCUGUGGAGCUUCAGACACUAACCAACCAUAACAACAACGAACUGACAACAGACCGAAAAAACUAAUGGUCCUGGUAAAAUGUCUUCGGUUGGGGCGACCGCGGUGAGAAAACAAAGCUCCCGAGUGGACUGGGACCCCCUCCUAAAACCUAGAGCCACACCUCAAAGUCUCAAAACAUUUGACCAAUAAUGAUCCGAUAUCUCGAUCAACGAACAAAGUUACCCCAGGGAUAACAGCGCAAUCCCCUCACAGAGCCCA
rnacentral:rRNA from 1 species